rnacentral:rRNA from 1 species
GACGAACGCUGGCGGCGUGCUUAACACAUGCAAGUCGAACGGAAAGGCCCUGCUUUUGUGGGGUGCUCGAGUGGCGAACGGGUGAGUAACACGUGAGUAACCUGCCCUUGACUUUGGGAUAACUUCAGGAAACUGGGGCUAAUACCGGAUAGGAGCUCCUGCUGCAUGGUGGGGGUUGGAAAGUUUCGGCGGUUGGGGAUGGACUCGCGGCUUAUCAGCUUGUUGGUGGGGUAGUGGCUUACCAAGGCUUUGACGGGUAGCCGGCCUGAGAGGGUGACCGGCCACAUUGGGACUGAGAUACGGCCCAGACUCCUACGGGAGGCAGCAGUGGGGAAUAUUGCACAAUGGGCGGAAGCCUGAUGCAGCAACGCCGCGUGCGGGAUGACGGCCUUCGGGUUGUAAACCGCUUUCGCCUGUGACGAAGCGUGAGUGACGGUAAUGGGUAAAGAAGCACCGGCUAACUACGUGCCACCAGCCGCGGUGAUACGUAGGGUGCGAGCGUUGUCCGGAUUUAUUGGGCGUAAAGGGCUCGUAGGUGGUUGAUCGCAUCGGAAGUGUAAUCUUGGGGCUUAACCCUGAGCGUGCUUUCGAUACGGGCUGACUUGAGGAAGGUAGGGGAGAAUGGAAUUCCUGGUGGAGCGGUGGAAUGCGCAGAUAUCAGGAGGAACACCAGUGGCCGAAGGGGGUUCUCUGGGCCUUUCCUGACGCUGAGGAGCGAAAGCGUGGGGAGCGAACAGGGUUAGAUACCCUGGUAGUCCACGCUGUAAACGGUGGGUACUAGGUGUGGGGUCCAUUCCACGGGUUCCGUGCCGCAGCUAACGCUUUAAGUACCCCGCCUGGGGAGUACGGCCGCAAGGCUAAAACUCAAAGGAAUUGACGGGGCCCCGCACAAGCGGCGGAGCAUGCGGAUUAAUUCGAUGCAACGCGUAGAACCUUACCUGGGUUUGACAUGGAUCGGGAGUGCUCAGAGAUGGGUGUGCCUCUUUUGGGGUCGGUUCACAGGUGGUGCAUGGCUGUCGUCAGCUCGUGUCGUGAGAUGUUGGGUUAAGUCCCGCAACGAGCGCAACCCUUGUUCACUGUUGCCAGCACGUUAUGGUGGGGACUCAGUAGAGACCGCCGGGGUCAACUCGGAGGAAGGUGGGGAUGACGUCAAGUCAUCAUGCCCCUUAUGUCCAGGGCUUCACGCAUGCUACAAUGGCUGGUACAGAGAGUGGCGAGCCUGUGAGGGUGAGCGAAUCUCGGAAAGCCGGUCUCAGUUCGGAUUGGGGUCUGCAACUCGACCUCAUGAAGUCGGAGUCGCUAGUAAUCGCAGAUCAGCAACGCUGCGGUGAAUACGUUCCCGGG